CGCGUAGGUGGUUAGUUAAGUCAGAUGUGAAAGCCCUGGGCUCAACCUGGGAAUUGCAUUUGAUACUGGCUGGCUUGAGUAUGGUAGAGGGAAGUGGAAUUCCAGGUGUAGCGGUGAAAUGCGUAGAUAUCUGGAGGAACAUCAGUGGCGAAGGCGACUUCCUGGACCAAUACUGACACUGAGGUGCGAAAGCGUGGGUAGCAAACA
rnacentral:rRNA from 1 species